AUUGAACGCUGGCGGCAGGCCUAACACAUGCAAGUCGAGCGGUUGAAGGGAGCUUGCUCCCUGAUUCAGCGGCGGCCGGGUGAGUAAUGCCUAGGAAUCUGCCUAUUAGUGGGGGACAACGUUUCGAAAGGAACGCUAAUACCGCAUACGUCCUUCGGGAGAAAGCAGGGGACCUUCGGGCCUUGCGCUAAUAGAUGAGCCUAGGUCGGAUUAGCUUGUUGGUGAGGUAAUGGCUCACCAAGGCGACGAUCCGUAACUGGUCUGAGAGGAUGAUCAGUCACACUGGAACUGAGACACGGUCCAGACUUCUACGGGAGGCAGCAGUAGGGAAUAUUGGACAAUGGGCGAAAGCCUGAUCCAGCCAUGCCGCGUGUGUGAAGAAGGUCUUCGGAUUGUAAAGCACUUUAAGUUGGGAGGAAGGGUUGUAGAUUAAUACUCUGCAAUUUUGACGUUACCGACAGAAUAAGCACCGGCUAACUCUGUGCCAGCAGCCGCCGUAAGAC
rnacentral:rRNA from 1 species